rnacentral:rRNA from 1 species
GACGAACGCUGGCGGCGUGCCUAAUACAUGCAAGUCGUGCGGACCUUGUUGAAAGCUUGCUUUUAAAAGGUUAGCGGCGGACGGGUGAGUAACACGUGGGCAACCUGCCUGUAAGACUGGGAUAACGCCGGGAAACCGGGGCUAAUACCAGAUCGUUUUUUCCUCCGCAUGGAGGAAAAAGGAAAGGCGGCUUCGGCUGCCACUUACAGAUGGGCCCGCGGCGCAUUAGCUAGUUGGCGGGGUAAUGGCCCACCAAGGCAACGAUGCGUAGCCGACCUGAGAGGGUGAGCGGCCACAUUGGGACUGAGACACGGCCCAAACUCCUACGGGAGGCAGCAGUAGGGAAUCUUCCGCAAUGGACGAAAGUCUGACGGAGCAACGCCGCGUGAGUGAAGAAGGCCUUCGGGUCGUAAAACUCUGUUGCCGGGGAAGAACAAGUGCCGUUCGAACAGGGCGGCGCCUUGACGGUACCCGGCCAGAAAGCCACGGCUAACUACGUG